GAUGAACGCUGGCGGCGUGCCUAAUACAUGCAAGUCGAGCGAACAGACGAGGAGCUUGCUCCUCUGACGUUAGCGGCGGACGGGUGAGUAACACGUGGAUAACCUACCUAUAAGACUGGGAUAACUUCGGGAAACCGGAGCUAAUACCGGAUAAUAUAUUGAACCGCAUGGUUCAAUAGUGAAAGACGGUUUUGCUGUCACUUAUAGAUGGAUCCGCGCCGCAUUAGCUAGUUGGUAAGGUAACGGCUUACCAAGGCAACGAUGCGUAGCCGACCUGAGAGGGUGAUCGGCCACACUGGAACUGAGACACGGUCCAGACUCCUACGGGAGGCAGCAGUAGGGAAUCUUCGGCAAUGGGGGCAACCCUGACCGAGCAACGCCGCGUGAGUGAAGAAGGUUUUCGGAUCGUAAAGCUCUGUUGUAAGUCAAGAACGGGUGUGAGAGUGGAAAGUUCACACUGUGACGGUAGCUUACCAGAAAGGGACGGCUAACUACGUG
rnacentral:rRNA from 1 species